rnacentral:rRNA from 1 species
AUUGAACGCUGGCGGCAUGCCUUACACAUGCAAGUCGAACGGCAGCACGGGUGCUUGCACCUGGUGGCGAGUGGCGAACGGGUGAGUAAUACAUCGGAACGUACCUUAUCGUGGGGGAUAACGCAGCGAAAGUUGCGCUAAUACCGCAUACGCCCUGAGGGGGAAAGCGGGGGACCGUAGGGCCUCGCGCGAUUAGAGCGGCGGAUGUCUGAUUAGCUUGUUGGUGAGGUAAAAGCUCACCAAGGCGAUGAUCAGUAGCUGGUCUGAGAGGACGAUCAGCCACACUGGGACUGAGACACGGCCCAGACUCCUACGGGAGGCAGCAGUGGGGAAUUUUGGACAAUGGGGGCAACCCUGAUCCAGCAAUGCCGCGUGAGUGAAGAAGGCCUUCGGGUUGUAAAGCUCUUUUGUCAGGGAAGAAACACCGGCUCUAACACAGUCCGGGAAUGACGGUACCUGAAGAAUAAGCACCGGCUAACUACGUGCCAGCAGCCGCCGUAA